rnacentral:rRNA from 1 species
UACAGAGGUCUCAAGCGUUGUUCGGAUUCAUUGGGCGUAAAGGGUGCGUAGGUGGCGCCGUAAGUCAGGUGUGAAAUCUCGGGGCUCAACCCCGAAACUGCACUUGAUACUGCGGUGCUCGAGUACUGGAGAGGAGAUUGGAAUUUACGGUGUAGCAGUGAAAUGCGCAGAUAUCAGGAGGAACACCGGUGGCGAAGGCGGGUCUCUGGGCCGAUACUGACGCUGAGGAGCGAAAGCGUGGGGAGCGAACAGG